AAUAAGUGCAGUUUUGCACUAUUUAUGUUCAACGUUUGACCGUUCGUCUUAUUUGAAAUUUUUUUAUGAUUAGUAUUUUUAUUGCUAUUAGAUGAUAAAACAUGAAUAGUACUUUAUGUGUGACUAAAUAUUUUUAAAUUUUUCAUAAAUUUUUUUAAAUAAGACGGACGGUCAAACGUUGGGCACGGAUAUCCACGGCGGUACUUAUU
rfam:Oryza glumipatula chromosome 6, whole genome shotgun sequence.